CACAUUGCUCUUUUAUUGUUCUUAAGUUUCUUUUAGUUGUACCUUUAUUUUUGUAUGUAGCUAAAAUAAAUCUUUUGCCAAAUAUUUUGCCAUACGAUUAUUAAUUUUUGAAAAAUCAAAAGCAUCAAGUUAUAGAUAAUAACCAUAAUUAGCAAAAAAAAGUAUUUGGUACAUAGAAAAAUAUACUAUGUUAUUAUAAGUAAACUCUAUCAAUGGCAAAAAAAUUAUUCAAUCAUCUUAUUAGUAAUUGAUGGUAUACUUCAAAUGCUACUCCAAAACUUGAUUUACAUGCUUUAUUUAUUUAUUAAUUUGAGGAUGAAAAAUCAAAGAUAGUUUUAUAUCUAUCUUAAAAAUCUUUAAAAAUAUUCUUUGAAAUCUUGAUACAAAUUGAGUCCCUUUAUUUGAUAUAAUAUCUUUAGACAAUCCAUGAUAGUGAUAGAUAUUGUUAAAAAAAAGCAUAGUUAUUUUUUCAUCUAUGAUAGAUUUUGUACAUGGUACUAAAUAGGCCAUCUUGGUGACACAAUCUACUAUCACAAAUAUAAAGUCAUAAGAACAUGAAAUUGGAAGAUCCAUAAUAAAAUCCAUAAAAAUGAAAGACUAUCAUUGUUUUGAAAUGAAUAAUGGUUGAAGAAGUCUGUAAGGUUGAUAAUGAAGUGUUUUUGAUCUUGAGCAAAUAUCAUAGGAUUAUACAAAAUCUUUGACUGUCUUCAUCAUUUGGAGCCACCAAAAAUCCCUAGAUAUUAGCUCUAAAGGCUUAUUAUAUCCAAAAUGUUUUGAUAUUGGAAAGUUUUCAUAAACUUAAAAAACAUGUAAUAGAGCUUCACCUUCUGGAACAUAUAAGUAUCCCUCAAAAUAUAAUAAAUUUUUCUUAAAUUCAAACUUAGAAGUAUCAUGAGACUUUGAAGGAUUUUCUUUAAUAUCACAAAUAAGAGGAUUAAAAGACAUACUUGACUAAACUUACAUAAUAAAAGUUGAAUCAAUAAUUAAUAUUGAUUGUAUUGUUCAAAGAUGAAGAUGUUCUAGCUCCAAGAAAAUUAUCUAUGAUUAAUUCAAAAUAACAUGUCUUUUCUUUAGUGCAAGGUAAGAUUGUUUAGAAAGUACAUUUAACAAAUCUUAUUUUUUUCUUAAUCAAUAAGCAAACUUAAAUUCAAAUCUUGAGAAGGACAUAUUGUAGUAUGCUUGGCAAAAAUUCAAAAUGCAUGUUGACAUAAAAUACUCAAAGUUCUUAUAAUUUGUAUAUAUAAUGAUUAGACUUGGAGUGUCUUGCAAUUAAUGGCACCAUUUUUGAAAAGAAUCCAUAAUUGUAAGAUGUUCUUUAUCAUAGAUCUUAUAAUUGAUCUUGGCUAAUAAAAGUUUUUUGGAAUAAAAAGCUACAAUAUGAAGUUUAUCAUGUAUUCUUAUUUCUAACAAUACAAUAUUUAAAAUAAAAUUUGAUGCAUCUAUUUCUAUAAAAAAAUAUCAUGGAAAAAUUGAUGUAAUAUAAAAUUGAUACGAAAAAAAAGAUUUUUUUUCAAAGAUUCAAAUGUUACUUUUGUUUCUUGAUUCCAUUGAAAUUUGUCUUUAGAAGUCAAACAUGUAAGUGGAGUUGUAACUUAUGAGAAGUCCUUGAUGAAGAUCUGAUAGUAAUUAAAAAUUUUCAAAAAAUAUUAGAUAUCUUUUAUUAUUUUUAGAAUUUUUUAAUCUUUAAUAGUUUGAAUUUUUUUUACAAUCCAUCAUAAAUCCAUUAUUUGAAAUGAUAUAUCCUAAGAAAUUGACUUGAAUAGUGUAAAAUAUAUAUUUUUCUAUCUUAAAAUAGAAUUUUGUAUCUCUUAGUUUAUGUAACACAUGAAAAACAUGAAGUUCAUGUUUUUUUGUAUUUUUAGAAUAGAUUAAGAUGUUGUAUAAAUAAAAAAUAAUAAAAUUAUCUAAAAAUUCUUAAAAGAUAUCAUUCAUUAAAUGUUAAAAAGCUGCUAGUGCAUUUGUAAGCACAAAAUACAUAGCAUUAUAUUUAAAAUAUUUAUAUCUAAUUCAAAAUGUAAUCUUCUAUUUAUUUCCUUCUUUGAUGCAUAUCAGAUCAUAUGUCUCUUAUAAAUCUAUUUUUAUAUAAAUUUUAAUUUUAUUCAACUAAUUAAAAAGUCCAAAUAUAAAAAAUAAUAGAUAUUUAUUUUGAAUGGUGAUCUUAUUGAGUUCUUAAUAAUCGAUAUAUAUCUACAAUAAUCUACCUUUUUUUUAUAAAUAAAAUUAAAGAUCUUAUUGGAGAUUUGAAAUAAUAUAUGAAGUUCUAGCUAGAUUCUCUUCAAAAUAUUCUUUGAAUUCAACCAACUCAUUUUGUGCUAAAUUGUAGAUUGGUCCAAAUGGUAGUUAAGUUCUUUCUUGAAAGUCAAUUGAAUAAUCAUGGAAAUGAUUUUCUAAAUGAAUAUAUACAUUCUUCUUUUCAAAUACAUCUUGAAAAUCUUGAUAUUAGCUAAAAAUGCCAUUUGAAGUCUUUUCACUAUUAGAAACAAAUGUAGUAUAAAUAACAUAAGAUGAUCUUUCUUUUACAGAAUAUAAAAAAGCUCUUAUACCUACAAAUAUAUGUUUACUUGUACUAAAUUUAAGUCUUUCAAUUUGAUUAAUUAUACUCUUAGUUAUACUUUUAGAAAAAUGAAGACUAUAAGGAAUUUAAUUUAUUCAAAGAUUAUAUUUUUUUAAGUAUAAUAAAUCUAAAAUAAUUGGAUUAGAAAAAUAUCUAAUAAUAUCAAAUACUACAAAGCUAUUAUGACCAUUAAUCAAUAUUUUUAGAGGAAACAUUUUAUAAAUAAUGUCUCUAGAGGAUAAUAAAUAACCAUCUAUGAUUCCUAUAUGAAUAAGUUUUGUUUUCUUUACUAAAGGUAUAUUUUGUCUUAUAACAAACUCUUUAUCUAAAAAACAAGUUGAGGCUCUUGAGUCUAGCAAGGCAAAGGCUUUGUCAUGUUUAGGUUCUAAACUAAUAUCUAUUGUAAAACAAAGAGAAGGUUUUAAAGAGAGAAUAUGAUCUUUAUUAGGUGUUGUAUAAGGUUUCAACCACAUGGUUUUUAUUACAACUAGAUAAACUUAUUUUUUGACAUACUAUCUUUUUUGACAAUUGUAUUUCUUAUAUUAUAAUUGAAUUGCUUCUUAAGAUAAUAUUGAGUAGUGUGCUUUAAUUCUCUACAAUAUAAAUACAAUCUUUUUUUUAUAAUGACAAGUCUUUUCAUAUUUAGUAAGAAGUUUAAAAUAUACUAUAUCAAUUUAUAUAUCUUUUACUUUUAAAGAUAUUUAUUAAAAAGAUGUUGAUGUUGCCAUUGAAUUAUAAUAGCAUUGAGAUCUACUUAUGAGAUUCUUAGAUUGAAAUUCAAAAAGUUGAUUGUCACUCUUUACAAUAAAAUCAAUUGUUUGACUCAAUAUUUGAGGAUUAAGAAAAUUGAACAUUAAUUUUUUUACUUCAUAUUGUAAUCCAUAAAGAAAUUAACUAAUAAGUGCAGUAUCAUUCUAGUUAAUAUCAAUUGUAACUUAUCUAAAUACUACUUUUUGAUUUUCUUAUCACAAAAUAUGGAUCUUAUUUAUUGUAAAAUAAAUUAUAUCAUAUUUUUCAUAUAUAAAUUAAAACUCUGCUAAAAAAACUUAUAAUUUCUCUAAUAUUGAAUCACAUUAUUCAAGAAAAGAUAAAAAUCAUGAUAAUGCAAAAUCAAAAAGUAAUAUUUCAAUAAACUUAACUUAUGAUCCUAGAAUUGAAUAGCUUUAGGAUUGAAAUUCAAUUACAAAUUGUACUUGAUUAAUGAAUCUUCAAAACUUUGAUGUUGUACAAUCAAACUUCUCAAAUAAGAUAAUUUUGAUUCUCUAGUGCUUGAAUAGUAUUUCACCAUAGAAAAAAGAAUAUGAUUUGGUAUAGAUAUUGAAACAGCUCCAAUUAUCUCUAUAUCUCCAGUUUCUACUAUUCUUGUUCUUCCUUAUGGUGAUAAAUUGAAUUAAUAAGUUACAAUCAUUAAUUUUUUAAAUUUUUCUUGAAAUUAUAUCAUUACAUUUUUUAUUUCAAGAAGCUCUGCCAAAAUAAUACUUAAAAAAGAAAUUUAAUAAUACUCAAUACAAAUAAAAAAAGAACUUAAGAAUAAAGAAAAUACUAAAAAUAAUAUCAAUUUAGAAGAGGAUAAUCUGUAACUUUUAAUAUGCUUAUGUCUUAUUAAGAAAAAGAAGUAGUCUACUUUUCAUUAAAAAAAGGCGAAGCUGUGAUGUUAUAAAUAUUCUCUUACUAAUUUAUCAAAGACAAGAAUUUAAUGGAAGCAAAUAAACAAGUGGAAAUUUUUCAAAGAAGUAUGAUAAAAUAGAAAUAAAGUAGUAUAUAUAUUAAAAAGAAAAAAAAAACUAGAAUAGCUAUUGUCAAAAGUUAAGAAAACUAGAGACUUCUUGAAAUUAGACUAAAAGCAAAAAAAAGAAUUAACAAGAGUAAAGAAGGCUUUAUUCUUACUUCUAUAUAUAUUAUUUAAUUAAGAGUUAUAUGGAAAUAUUCUAUAAGACCUCCAAAACAUAUUGACUUUGCACGAUACAUAUCUUAACUUAUAAGACAAUUUUUUUAUAUAGAAACCAUAUAGUUAUCUUAUUCUACAAACUAUCAAUAUAUGUGGCAUGUGGUUAAUUUUUUGAUUAAGUUUCUAAUCUAUCAAUCAACUAUAAAUACAUAUAAAGUCAAAAUAAUAUCUAUGAAGCUUUUAAGAAGCUUUCUGAAAAGAUAUUAUGAAAUUAAUCUACUUUUAUUUACUUCUACCUAUUCAUAUUACCUAGGCAAGAAUCAUAAUAAUAUAUGACCAUGACACUCACUCACAUCAAAAUUAUUAGCAUUGUCUUACGUUUGUCAUAUUUAAUUCCCUUCUUGUUGCUUUGGUUUAAUCACCAAUAAUAUAGAACAUCCUUUGAAAUAUCUUGAGCAAUUGUAAAACCCCUAAUAGAAUAUCUUGUGAAUUUCAAAGAAGACAAACUUUUUUGAUGAAAUUAAAGAUCCAUCCAUGCAACCAUUGAAAAUCACUACUUGAACUUUGAAGAACUCUUUGAUCAAUUAUAAAAUACAAUGAUGAAUUGUAAAACAGGUUGUGAACUCUAUAAAAUGUAAAUCUUUUUGAUGAAAAUGAAGAGCCAUCUAUGUGGUGAAUGAGAGUCAUUGCUUGUUUCCUUCAUUGCUUCCUUAGGAUUUGUUUUGAUUAUUUUGAAGAUUUUAUUUGGAUUUUCUUUUAGAAUUAUUUAAAGUUUAUUUGAGAUUGAAUAUACUAUGAUAAGAUUGUUUAAAAUUGCUAAGGUAUUUCUAAACACCUUAUGCAUUAUUUUUUUGGAUUAUAAAUUAAACUUUAAGGUAGGAUCAUACCUUUCUACUACCAAAUGACAAGCGCAUUCCUAGGCUAAUUUCCACACAAGAAAACAAUGCUCCAACAAAUCCCAUGAAGUUUGUUUCUUAAUCUUGCUCUCUAAUCAACUAAAGAAUUCCACAAUUACUAUAGAUGAGUAGUUUUGUACCUCAAGAUUUGCAUUUAACCUUAGAUUAUAACCGAUCUUCUCUAAAUAUCAAUUUCUAGUUUUUUCAGGCAAAUUUUGCUAGAUGCUUCUCUUUACUUUAAUCUAAAGAUGCUUAUAAUAUUAUUUUUGCUGAUCCAUUAUAAAAUAAAGUAGCGAACCAUUUUAAAAUAGUUUGCUACUAUAUUUUUUAAUUGAUCUCUUCUAUAAUGUAAUCCAUUUUAUUUUGUUUCAUCCAAUAACCAUGUUACAACAUAACACCUUGUUGCUAUUGUGUGUUCAAUAUUUGUGCAUGUUGAACUUCAAUAUAUCCACCAGACCCACCUCCAAAACAAAAUCCCUAGUGACAUAAAAAUUGGUAUUUUGGAAGAAUGAUCUGAGUAGGAUCUAGGGCUAGUCCAUGCAAUUUCAAUGUAAGUUAUGGCAGAUGGGGCCAGCUGCAGAUAGAUACAGGCAUUGAUAAGACACACCCGGAUCACAUCUUUGUGCCAACCCUGACAAAAUUAUCCUCGCCUACUAAUGGAUAGAAAUCUUCAUCCAGUAUCUUUUCUGGUCAUCCAAACGGGCAGACAACUCUCGCGUUACUGAUGAAACUUUUUUUUUUUCCAGAGAAUCGUGAUGAGGUUUCAUUGGUUUAUUCAUUAUUCCGUUUAACCCCUCCUUUGAAACCAUUUUAUUCUUUGAAACCAAUUGAAACCCCAUCAUUAACUUGUUUUGCCGUAGGGCACAAAGAAGAAAAAGUUGGCCGUCCACGCCGCUUCGACCCAUGUACGUAAAUAUGCCGUGUCAGACCAGGUUGCUACAGAAACACAGUUGUGACCCUUGUAUGUGAUCCAUAUGGCUACACCACAAAAGGGGUAUCUACAUGCAGUUGGAUGUGUGCAUGAGGAAUAUGGGAAGAUGAAAAUCUACGACAAGGUGAUAAGCAAAUGAACAGCUUUCGUGGCUCACGUUUUUCAUGCUCAGAGGGAUCGACGAGGUGAAAUAUGACCGCACCCCCGUCUACCUCAACAUUCGCAUUCCAGCCGUGACGGAGCGAAGUCGCCAACUGCAAAGCUCAUCCUCAGUUUCGGUUUCAAUAGAAGCAGGGAUGGCGUUGUCACGCUUCACCAUUUUGGCGCCAGUGCUGCUGGUGGCACUGCUUGCCAGCUCUAGUCUCGUCCAUGGGUGCGUCCCGAUGAACGAUCCCUGUAGCGUGUUUUACCAGUGCUGCGACUGCGAUCCCACAACCAAUUACGAACUGUACUGCGACUUUGUCUAUUCCGCUUUUGGAUUACGGUGCACCACCAAGGCGUUCAAGCCUAAAUGCGAUGCGCUGAACCAGAACAACAUCAUGCGCGCUUUGAAUCUGCCCCGCAAGCUCAAUGGCGUCCCCGGCGGUUUCAGCACCCCACAGGAGAUCUUGCAGCUGCCGCAGCUGUAGAGGAAGCCCGAGAGCAAUCCCCGCAACAUAUCGCUGCAAGUGGGUUCCAGUAAUGGAGUUUCGUUCUGAUCAAGUCUGGAGCAUUGUGAGUUUUGUGACCAUGGGUGUAUUGACAUAUCUGUGUAGCUUUUUGUAGUGCAGUGUGUCGAUGUGUAUCGAGACUUAGUUUUAUCUCGUUUUCGUAUGGGUGUGACUGGGAUGCAGCAGUGGUUCAGAUGCGGAUUUUGGCCACCGUGUUGAUGUUGUUUGACAAUCUCUUUGCACGCUUGCGCACUGGCAACUGCACAGUAGUACGUGAUAAGUCCAUAGAAUAAAACCUUCCUGUACUUCGAUGUAUUCUAAUAAACGUGACCUUGUGUCUUUAUGUGUAUUCCAAGUUGUUCCGCACAUUUGUCGUGUUCUGUCUGAUUCCAAAUUGGUAUGGAGGUAGGGUCAUGAUUGUGCCCACAGUGGCCGGGUUUUUGCAGUUGUCGUUUGGAGGUUUCGAGAAGUUUGGUGAAAGGAAUUUAGUGAGAGAUGGAUUAUAUAUUUAUAUAUAUAUAUAUAUAUAGAUAUAUAGAUAUAUGUAUGCAUGUAUAUUCUUAUGUACGUAUACAGUGAUGUGUUUCUGGAUCAAAGACUCACACAGAGCUUAUCAGUCAUGUACAUUCUACAUUGAGGAGACGUGGGCCAAGAGACACAAUGAUUGCAUUUCUUCUAGCAAUAAAAAUAAAAAAUGUUUACAUUUGAAAGAUAAAGACUAUUGUGCUUAAACUUGUCCAGCGUAAACUUUGUGCUUUAACUCGUUUAGCGGUCACUUGGUGCUUUAACUUGUCUAGCGAAAACUCUGUGCUUUAAAUUGUCUUCCAAUUCCAUCCACACCCGGAAGGUUU
rnacentral:lncRNA from 1 species